UGACUAUGAUGAUUUAUUCUCCAUUCAUUCGCGGUUUCCACCAGAGAAACUUUUGUUUCAAAGAUGGUUCUUGUCCUUCCUUGGAUGUCUGAGUCA